rnacentral:rRNA from 1 species
AAAAUACGGGAGGCAGCAGUGAGGAAUAUUGGUCAAUGGGCGAGAGCCUGAACCAGCCAAGUCGCGUGAAGGAUGACUGCCUUAUGGAUUGUAAACUUCUUUUGUAGGGGAAUAAAGAGAGGUACGUGUACCUCAGUGAAUGUACCCUACGAAUAAGCAUCGGCUAACUCCGUGCCAGCAGCCGCGGUAAUUUUU